rnacentral:rRNA from 1 species
GACGAACGCUGGCGGCGUGCCUAAUACAUGCAAGUCGACCUUAGUGGCGCACGGGUGAGUAACACGUGGGUCACCUGCCCAUCAUAAGGGGAUAACACUUGGAAACAGGUGCUAAUACCGUAUACUGAUGGAUGGACCCCCGGUGCAUUAGCUAGUUGGUGAGGUAACGGAUCACCACGGCCACGAUGCAUCGACGACCUGAGAGGGUGAGAGGUCACAUUGGGACUGAGAAACGGCCCAAACGCGUACGGGAGGCAGCAGUAGGGAAUAGUGGGCAAUGGACGAAAGGCUGACCGAGCAAAGCCGCGGGAGUGAAGAAGGUUUUCGGAUCGUAAAACUCUGUUGUUAGAGAAGCGGUAUCUAACCAGAAAGCCACGGCUAACUACGUGCCAGCAGCCGCGGUAAUAC